AGAGACUCAGUGAAAUUGAAUUCCCCGUGAAGAUGCGGGGUUCCUGCGGUCAGACGGAAAGACCCCGUGCACCUUUACUACAACUUCGCACUGGCAUCAGGAUUGUGAUGUGCAGGAUAGGUGGUAGGCUUUGAAGCAGGAACGCCAGUUUCUGUGGAGCCUCCCUUGAGAUACCACCCUUCGCACUCUUGAUGUCUAACCGCGGUCCGUUAUCCGGAUCCGGGACCCUGCGUGGCGGGUAGUUUGACUGGGGCGGUCGCCUCCUAAAGCGUAACGGAGGCGCGCGAAGGUUGGCUCAGAGCGGU
rnacentral:rRNA from 1 species